GCAGGGAAUGCCUUCCUUCCAGAAUGCCUCCAGGCUUCCCAGAUGCCAUUCUGGAAGCCCCAUAUUAGGCACCAAAUUGAAAUGAAGAGUGGCAGCCCUGACAUUAAGCAAGCAAUAUAUUAAUAGUCAGCCAGGAGACAGCAGUCUACCAUGGGGAUCAAGCAUCCAUUGUCCAACCACAGGGGUGAGCUGGAGGAAAUUGGAGCUAUGCCUGGCUCCCCCACUAAACCACACCACUCGAAGUAAGACAGAAUGGUUGGGCCUGAGCGACAGGUGCAUUUGCUGCUGCCACAUUGAUCAGUUGUGAGGGCGGCAGGCCUCAACACA